rnacentral:rRNA from 1 species
GACGAACGCUGGCGGCGUGCUUAACACAUGCAAGUCGAACGGAAAGGCCCUGCUUUUGUGGGGUGCUCGAGUGGCGAACGGGUGAGUAACACGUGAGUAACCUGCCCUUGACUUUGGGAUAACUUCAGGAAACUGGGGCUAAUACCGGAUAGGAGCUCCUGCUGCAUGGUGGGGGUUGGAAAGUUUCGGCGGUUGGGGAUGGACUCGCGGCUUAUCAGCUUGUUGGUGGGGUAGUGGCUUACCAAGGCUUUGACGGGUAGCCGGCCUGAGAGGGUGACCGGACACAGUGGGACUGAGAUACGGCACAGACUCCUACGGGAGGCAGCAGUGGGGAAUAUUGCACGAUGGGCGGAAGCCUGAUGCAGCAACGCCGCGUGCGGGAUGACGGCCUUCGGGUUGUAAACCGCUUUCGCCUGUGACGAAGCGUGAGUGACGGUAAUGGGUAAAGAAGCACCGGCUAACUACGUG